rnacentral:rRNA from 1 species
GACGAACGCUGGCGGCGUGCUUAACACAUGCAAGUCGAACGGUGAUGCUCCAGCUUGCUGGAGUGGAUCAGUGGCGAACGGGUGAGUAACACGUGAGCAACCUGCCCCAGACUCUGGAAUAAGCGCUGGAAACGGCGUCUAAUACUGGAUACGAAACUGGCCCGCAUGGGCAUGGUUUGGAAAGUUUUUCGGUUUGGGAUGGGCUCGCGGCCUAUCAGCUUGUUGGUGAGGUAAUGGCUCACCAAGGCGACGACGGGUAGCCGGCCUGAGAGGGCGACCGGCCACACUGGGACUGAGACACGGCCCAGACUCCUACGGGAGGCAGCAGUGGGGAAUAUUGCACAAUGGGCGAAAGCCUGAUGCAGCGACGCCGCGUGAGGGAUGACGGCCUUCGGGUUGUAAACCUCUUUCAGCAGAGAAGAAGCGAAAGUGACGGUACCUGCAGAAGAAGCACCGGCUAACUACGUG